CAAAAGAGAGACUGGGGGCUGCUGCCCUGACCAGUCCUCUGUCCCUGAAGGUAGGAGGCCGGUGUUGGAGAUGGGGGUUCUUUGAUGCAGACCCAGAGUUUCAAGAUGGCAGCCCAGAUUGGAGAACCAUCUGCAAGGACCUGACCCCCACUGUCUCAUCCUGUAGUAGAUGGAGAGGCUCUGAGGCCGUGGACAGGCGUGGGCCACGGAGACAUCCACUACAGGAGAAACCAGGUUACAAUUCUCCCGCCCUGAACCACCCAGGUGAAUUUCAGUGCCAGGAAUGUGACAGCAGGCUCCAAUUCAGCAAAGACUUUGAGCACCAUGUGACCUUUUCUUUCUCUCCUGUUCAAGCCACCUAGGAAUGCUGGGGUGGGAGAAGGGCUGUGACCUCAAUGCAAGCCCCCUGGUGACACCGUCCCUCCAUUCCUGGAUGUGCUCAGCAACCCUGUGCAGUGCAGCUUCCUGGAGGAGGUGACAUUUGCACUGGGCCUUAAAAGAUGGGUAGAUUUAGAAAAGUGGAAACAGCCCAAGUGGUCAUAGACCCAUAAAUGGAUAAGCAAAAUGUGGUCUAUCCAUGCAGUGAAAUAAUCCUCAGCUUUACAGAGGAAUAAAAUUCUGACGCGUGCUACAAUGCUGGGUGAACCUCGAGGACAUCAUGCUAAGGGAAAUAAGCCAGCCACAAAAUGACAAAUGCUGCAUGAUUCCACUUAUAGGAGGUCCCUAGAGGGGUCAAAUCCAUAGAGACGGAAGUAGAACAGGAGAUGUCAGGGCUGGGAGAAAAGGGAAUGGGAAGUUAGUGUUUCAUGGGUACAGAAUUUCAGUUAGGGAAGAUGGAAAAGUUCUGGAAAUGGACGGUGGUGAUGGUUGCACAACAAUGUGAAGUAAUGCCCCUGAACUCUAUUGCUUAAUGCCCCUGAACUCUAUUACUUAAUGCCUCUGAACUGUAUACCACUUAAUGCCAUGAAACUGUACUUA